AUACUUACCUGGCGUAUGGGAUACUGUGUACAUGCAGACAGUUCCCCCAGAGCGAGGCUGUUCCAUUGCACUCCGGAGUGGUUGACCCUUGCGAUUAUUUUUAUUUUUAUCAAUAAAAAAAUCAUAAUAAAAAAUAUUAAAAAAUGUAUACCCGAAUAAUUGUUUU